UACGUAGGGUGCAAGCGUUGUCCGGAAUUAUUGGGCGUAAAGAGCUCGUAGGCGGCCGCGCAAGUCGAUUGUGAAAACUCGGGGCUCAACCCCGAGCCUGCGUUCGAUACUGCACGGCUAGAGUCUGGUAGGGGGAUCUGGAAUUCCUGGUGUAGCGGUGGAAUGCGCAGAUAUCAGGAGGAACACCAAUAGCGAAGGCAGCUCGCUGGGACGUUACUGACACUGAGGCGCGAAAGCGUGGGGAGCGAACAGG
rnacentral:rRNA from 1 species